rnacentral:rRNA from 1 species
AGAGUUUGAUCCUGGCUCAGAGCGAACGCUGGCGGCAGGCCUAAAACAUGCAAGUCGAACGAAUCCUUCGGGGUUAGUGGCGGACGGGUGAGUAACACGUGGGAACGUGCCUUUUGGUUCGGAACAACUCAGGGAAACUUGAGCUAAUACCGAAUGUGCCCCCUUCUUUAGCGAGGAGGGUGGGAAAGAUUUAUCGCCAUUAGAGCGGCCCGCGUCUGAUUAGCUAGUUGGUGAGGUAAAGGCUCACCAAGGCUACGAUCAGUAGCUGGUCUGAGAGGAUGAUCAGCCACACUGGGACUGAGACACGGCCCAGACUCCUACGGGAGGCAGCAGUUAGGAAUCUUGCGCAAUGGGCGAAAGCCUGACGCAGCCAUGCCGCGUGAAUGAUGAAGGUCUUAGGAUUGUAAA